rnacentral:lncRNA from 1 species
AUGUUUAGUGAAUACAGUGAGGUCUCAGUUGAAUUCCAACUGGAAGAUAUAAAUGGCAAUCUCUUACCAUUGGAUCUUUGUCAAGUACAUAAAUGUGGGGUCCGCCUACUGUAUGAAGAUGAGAUACAUUGCAUCGACUAUUAUCAUGAUCCAUUGGAAGCAAUGUUCCAAUGCAAGAGAGCAAGCUUGCAAGGCAAGAGAGCAAGGUUCCAAGGCAUGAGUUGGGAGGAUUAUUCUGUCAUGUGUAGGACCUACGAAUUCUUGGUGAGGUUCUUAUUGGAUUUUCAACUUUAUUCCGGAGAGUUAUACCGUAUGUUUCUUUUCUUCUCUAUUUGUCAUGUCUCAUUUUAAAAAGAUGCUAUUUAAAUUGUGUUAACAGGAAGAGCUCGAUGUUUCAAAAAGGGUAUCUAGUUUCCGCUACCAUGGAGAUGUAACUCCGGAGUGGUUUAGCCAUCAAAGUUGGGGAUCAACAGUAACAUGCCAGCUAUCUUCACAUUGGGCUAAUAGCGAGUUCUUGGGUUUCUCUCUUUGCGCUAUCAUUGCAUUUCAUUCUUUCAAACAUAGUUUGCAAGUUAAAUGCACAUAUCACUUCCGCAAUGAGCACGGUGAUAGCCAUGAUCUCUAUUGCUAUCUCCAUGAGGAGAUUGAUGAGAGGCGCAUCGACUCAGAUCACGUACUCGUGGGAUUUGAUCCCUGUUUGGUUGCCAAAGAAAAGGAUAUGUUUAGUGAAUAUAGUGAGAUCGCAGUUGAAUUCCAACUAGAAGAUAUGAACGGUAAUCUCUUACCAUUAGAUGUUUGUCAAGUACAAGAGUGUGGAGUCCGUCUACUGGAUGCCGAAGAUAAAGAUGCUGUGACCAUGGCAGGUGUCCUCUUGAUCGAUAUGAAUUGGAAGCAGUGUUCCAAGCCAAGAGACCAGGGUUCCAAGCAUGAGAUGGGAUGAAAUUGGCUAUGUUUUUCCCUCAAGAAAAAAGAGAAGGCAUAAUUAAUAUGAAUGACACUUGGGUAUUACGGUAGAAAUAAUUUAAUAAUUAUUUUGACGAGGAUACAGAGGGGUGAAUUGCUGUCGAGUCCAAGAAACUUUUAAGAUGAGAAUUGGGUUAUUUUUUUCAUUUCAUGUACCAAUCUAAGAUUAAUGUAUUCUUCUUUCCCUUUCGCAAAAUUUGACAAAAUUCAAACUUUAAUGGAUGAAAUGGAGAGCAAACCAUAGCUUAUCUUUGGAAGUACAUAAGAGUGCAAGUGCAUAUCUUUGAGAGUGUUGUUGUUACUAUAGUUAAAAUUUAGUCUUCCUAGUUUAGCAAAACUAAUGAUUUUUUACUAGAUUUGACAAAGGUUAAUUAAGUCGUUCGCUAACAAAAUAUACCUUCUUUUCUCAAUUUUGUGUUUUUGCAUCCUAUGUACUUAAAAAUUUUAUUUUUAUUUUAAAAAAUUAAAAAAUAAAUUAAAAAAGAUAUGAAAUUAAUAAAAUAAAAUUAUGUUAUUUAUAGAUUUAAAAUUAUAGAAAUUAAAUAAUUAUAUUCUAAUACGACAACAAGCUUUUAUUUUCUUGCAAGCAUUUUUUUAUUUUAUUUUAAUACUGUACUUUUCAAUGUUAGCAUAAAAUGGCAGCACUGUCAUUUCGUAGAACAAUUGAAGUGUAUUGAAGUAUUAUAAAAAUAUCAAAAAUCAUUGUUUCUUCCCAUACAAAAAGCACUAUGGAUUACAACAGUAAUUUAUAGUGCUUUUCUCCUUUUUCUUUUUUGCUAACUUUUCCCUCUUUUUUUUUCAAAUUUUUUUUUUCAAAAUUACUUUUUUUUUCAACUUUCCUAUUUUUUUUUUUUUUUCAUUUAUUUUUUCUUCUUUUUUUCUAAAAUUAUUUUUGUUGAUUUUACUUUUUAAAUAUUGACCUGGUUAAAAUUUUUGUUUUGUAAUUUUUUUCUUUAAAAUACUGUGGAUUGUUGCGAUGUUUAUCCACAUAGUUUUUCUAUUUUAUUUCUUUAUUCUUCAAAAUUAUAUUUGUCGAUUUUUUUUUAAUAUCGAGCUGAUUGAGAAUUUAGUUUUAUAUUUUUUUCUUUAAAACAUUGUUGAUUGCUACAAUAUUUCUCCGCAUGGUUUUUUUUAUGAUUUUCUCUGAAAUUAUCUUUUUUUUAUUUUAUUUUUUAAUAUGGAGCUAGUUAAAAAUUACAGUUACAAUAUGUGAGGAAAGCACUGUAACUUUCCUCGAAAAUUACUGUUGAUUGCUACAGUGUUUUUUCCCACAUGGUUUUUUCCUGUUUUUGUUAUGUUUUUCCCUAAAAUUAUCUUUGUCAAUUUUAUUUUUUAAAUAUUAAGCUAGUUAAGAAUUGCAAUUACAAGUAAAUACAAGUUUUUCCUCACAAAACACUAUGGAUUGAUACAGUUUUUCCUCACAUGGUUUUUUUCUAGUUUCUUUUGUGUUUUCUUUUUUUAUAAUAUUUUUUUCCAAAAUUAUUUUCGUCGAUUUUUUUUUAAUAUUGAGUUGGUUAGAAUUUAACUUUGUAAUAAAGCUUAAUCACGUGGGGAAGACAUUGUAGCUUUGCUCAUAAAACAUUGUGGAUUGCUACAGUGUCUCUCCGCAUGGUUUUUUUUUGUUAUAAUUUUUUUCAAAUUAUCUUUUUCAAUUUUAUUUUUUUUAAUAUUGAGUUGUUUGUGAAUUACAAUUACAUGUCAUUACAAAUAAGGCUAAAUCAUGUGGGGAAGCACUAUAGCUUUCAUCACAAAACACUGUGAAUUGUUACAGUGUUUCUAAAAUGAUUUUUUCCCCCUUUUUUGGUGUUUGUUUUGUUAUUUUUUUUUCUAAAAUUGUCUAUGUCGAUUUUUUUUUAAUAUUAAGCUGAUUAGGAAUUUAACUUUGUAUUUGUUUUCUUUAAAACACUGUGAAUUGUUGCAGUGUUUUUCCAUGUGAUUUUUUUAUGAUUUUUUUCAAAAUUAUCUUUGUCAAUGUUUUUUUGAAUAUUUAGUUGGUUAAGAAUUAUAAUUACAAUAAAGCUAAAUCAUAUGAGGAAAGCGUUGUAGUUUUUCUCACAAAACACUGUGGAUUGCUACAAUAUUUCUCUAAAUGGUUUUUUAUUUUAUUUUAUUGGAAAAAGCGCUAUAGUUUUCCUCACAGAACGUUGUCAAUUGCUAUAAUGUUUUUUCUCAUGGGUUUUUCUCUUUCCAAAAUUAUCUUUGUUCGUUUUUUUUAAAUAUUAAGUUGGUAGAGAAUUUAGUUUUGUAAUUUUUUUUCUUUUUAUUAACUGAAAAGCUAAAUCAUGUGGCGAAAGCAUUGUAUCUUUCCUCACAAAACGCUGUAGAUUGCUACAAAUUAUUUUGUUCAGUCUCUAAGUUUUUGAUCACCAACAUAACUUUUUUCCUGUCAUGAAAUAUUUGUUCCAUCAUACCUUUAAUUUCUAUUACUUAUCUAGCGUUGGUUCACAAUUAUAAUACUAUCAAGUGCAUUUGUUUUAUAAGCCUGCGGCAGCACGCGGGCAUGUCAUCUCGUUGUAACUAAGAGAAGUAAAAUACCUGUUUUUUUUAAGAUAUUGUUUUAGAAGGUAAAUAGCUUAAUAUAUUAUUAUAUCAUUACACUAAUAUGUCUCUACGUUUUCAAAUAUUUUUUAUUAUGUAUUUCCAUGAUAUCUAUUUUUUUAAUACAUCAUUUUAACAAGUUUUACCAAUCAAUUUGACAAAAUUUCAUUUCAUCAUUUUCGUGAGCUAGCAUGGAUGAUUUUAUUUCUUUGAAAAAAAUAAAAUAUUUAUUUCUAAAAUCUUUUAUUCUUAAGUAAUUUUGAAAUUUUAAUUUUUUAAAACAUAAAAGCAUUUUUGACGAAGGAAGACACCAAUCCGUCUGUGUGAUACGCAGAAUUUACCUUCUGCUUACAAGUUAUUGCAUACUCCACAGCAUAACCUUUUUCCAGCCCAUUUAAUUACAAGUUCAACACAUGAGGGCUCUACCCCAGACCCUUCUAGGAAAGUCAACCCCGUGCUUCCCUUAAGCUGUCCACCUCUAAGUGCCUAUUUUUGGUAAGUUUUAAAACUAUAAUAAUAAUUAUUUUUAUUAUAUGUUAACUCGGGUUAAUUUAAAUUGAUUUUCUCUACCCGUGACUCAAUAUUACCCCUAUCGACUCUCAAAUUGAGUUUUAUAACUAUGAUAAUAACUAAUUUUGUUUUUAUGUUGACCAAGAUUAAUGAUCAACCUCACUCGUAAACCAAGCUUUAUUUUAGGUUAACCUAUGAAUCAAAUUUUAAAAUUAUAAUAACAAUUAUUUUCACCUUUGCACUUACUACUCGAUCCAUGACAUGGGCUUUGACCAGUAACCUAAGCUUUGUUCGAGAUCAGCCUUGGAGUUUCCUUUUACAUACACACACAAGGUUAUACUCCUUGUUUAAUAAUAAGGGAUGCUGUUUAUAGAAACUAUUAACUGUUAGCGUAUUAAUUAAAAAAUUAUUCAAGUAACCAAUAAAACUUAUAUUAAAUAUUUUUGAUGAAAUAUAGAAGAUAAAAAUAAUCAAGAAAACUAUCUACAAUUCUCAAUCAACAUAAAUUGAAUUCCUAUAAAUUAUGUAAAAGUUUAUAACAUAGUAGAUGUAUUAUAUAUUAUAUGGAUUUUGUCUUUCAAUCAAAAUUUUUAAAUAAAAUAAUGAAAUCAAGUGGUACAAUAGUUUUUCUACAAAAAAAAAUCAAAAGUAAUUAAGAACUGAAACUCAACAUGAAUCAACAAUUUAAAAUAUAUUAUAUAUAUUUUUAAAAUUUGAUUACUUUUUUAUUCUAGUUUUAAAUGGAUUUUUUUAAUUUAAAUUUAAUCAAUACAAAAACUUAUACAUUGAUUCUAAGUAGUAAAAUGCUAUAAAAUUUGUACAGAAUCUGGUUUAAUAAUUAUAUUUAUGAUUAAACACAUGAAUUAAAUUGGAGCAGGGGAAGUAGGGCGUGUGAUCUUCUCCUCUUACUCCUGGCAACUGAGGUCAUGUGGCUUACUUGAGAAAGGAGUGGAGGAAAACAAUUAUCUUGGUGUUGGAAUGCAAGCGCCACUAUGGUAAUGUAAUGAAGGGUGUGUUUGUGAGAGAUGUAUGGUUGAUUUAAUCCUUUUAAAAAUACAAAUUAUACUUUGAAAAAACUAACCUCCCAAGCACACAUACUAAGAAGUAUUAACCUUGAUAUUUUUAUGACCAACAUAAAAACUUCAUAUGUUCAUUAUAAUAUCCUUUAAAAAUUUAAAUUUACCUCCCAACAUAACAAAGGGAUCAACUUUGCUUUCUAAUCAAAAGUCUAAAGACUCAAAUUGAUUUUAAAAACAUGCCAAAAUAGUAAUUGAUCAAUAAAAAAUAUCAUUCAACUUAUUAUUAAAGGAAAAAAUAUCGGUUUAUAUAUAAUUCCUUUUUUUAUAUAUACCAAAUUAACAUUUUCAGUUAAGAUGUUAAGGUGGUGAAUUUUGACAAAAAAUAAAAUAAAAAUAAUUUGGGAAUGCUUUUGCAACGAUGAAUAAACUGAAAGGAUAAAGCUUCGUUUCCUAAAAGACCUUUUGAUAAUUGGAUGUCAUGACCGAUCCAUUUACCCAUAUUAAUUAAUUAAUAAUUUCAUUAAGACAAAGUGGGUUUCAGCUAUAGUAAAAGAAUUGGUAUCUAUCCCUAUUUUUCUCACUUGUUCAAUUUGAAAAUAUUUAAAGUAUUGGUUGAGCGUUGAGAGGACGAUACCAUUUUAAAUUUACCUCCCAACAUAACAAAGGGAUCAACUUUGCUUUCUAAUCAAAAGUCUAAAGACUCAAAUUGAUUUUAAAAACAUGCCAAAAUAGUAAUUGAUCAAUAAAAAAUAUCAUUCAACUUAUUAUCUCACCAGGUUAGCCGAGUCAGCCAGAUUUUUAACUACUUUUAUUUUUUUAUAAAAUCGAUCUGGUUCAAGCCUCGGAUUAACGAAGUCUCAAAUUAUCCGCCAAACCAAGCUGGAAUUUAAAACUAUAAAUGAGACAAGAGCCGAUGGCCCACGUCGUCUCUGGGGCAGCAGUUAUUUUAGACUGUGUUUGCAGGCUUUUCAGUUUGAGCCUAUGUUAAUUUCCUAAACUGGGCUUUCCCUUGACUUAGCCUAGGGAAUGCUUUUCCACGUUAUGAUGUGAGAGACCUAAUUUUUUAAAAAUCUAAAAAAAAUAUAUAGGUUUCAUAAAAUAUUUUAGUAUUAUUAUUAAAUUUGAAAAUAUAAUUAUUUUGAAAAAAAUUUAUUAUGAUAAACUUUUUAUUAAUACAUCUCUUAUUUAUUUUAAUCAAAACAAUAUUUUUAAUUGAUAUUAUUGUUUUUGUUAAAAACAAAAAUAUUUUAUAAUUGUUAAAACAAGUUAACAAAAAAUAUCAAAAUAGUAUAUUUAUAAUUGAAAUUUUAAAAAAUCAUAAAUAUAAUACAGUUAUUUCUAGAAUACAUUUAAAAAAUUUAAUUAUAAAACACCAAGUUCAUUAAUUGAAUCUUCAUCAAUAAUUUAUUAUUAUUAUUAUUAUGGGAAAAACUGAAAAAGAAAGAGCAAAGGGCUAGGCGGCCCUAAUCUAUUUAUUUUCUUUUAACGAAGGUGAAUACAUAACUUCAAUAUUAUCCGUUCUUCAAUAUUGUUUUAAUACAUAACUUCAAUAUAAUCAAUAUUAUUAAACAAUUUUAAAAGUUAAAUUGAUAAGGAAAAAGUUAUACUUUGAAAAUACAAAUUAUACUUUGAAAAUCCUAGAUUGUUAUAUAAUCAAUAUUAUUAAACAAUUUAAAAAAUAAAAUUAAUUUUUUUUCAAGGUAUAAUCCUUUUAAAAAUACAAAUUAUACUUUGAAAAAACUAACUUCCCAGGCACAUACUAAGAGUGUGUUUGGUAUUGCGGUAGCUGUUGUGGUUGUGGUUUGAAAAAAGUUGUUUUAUAAAAAGUACUUUUAGUUGAGGUUGAUUUGAAAAAAUAGGUGUUUGGUUAAAACUGUGGUUGAAAUUGAGGUUGAAGAAAAAGUAGUUUAAUGUGUUUGGUUAAAAGAAUGUUUUUCAAAUUGAGGUUAUAAAAUAAUAUAUAUGUAUUGAUGGUUUUUAAUUUAAAUAUUGUAGAUUUAACUACUAUUAUUACAUUAUGAAAUAAAUAAUAUUGAUAUCAAAUAUUUUUUAUUAUUCCAUUAAACUAUGUGCAAUUUCAUCACGUACGAAAUAUAUCCAACAAUGACUAUAUUUUCCAUGGUUUCUUAAGUGCGCAACAACAAAAACUGAAUUUUUUGUUACGUCAUCAAACGAUCUCCUUCUAAUUUUUUGAAUAAAACACAAUUACAAAUAAAAAUAAAAACUGAAUUUUUUUAACUGGGUCGGACCCGGCAAGAACAUGAUUGGGCUUGCGAUCAAAUUCUGUAAAUGUUACGUCAUCAAUUGAUCUCCCUUUUAAUUUAUGUAGUGUUACUAAAUAAUAUUAAACACUAGUUUUUUGAGUAAAAUAUAUUUUUUAAAAAAAAAUAAUUUUUUUUAAAGUAAGUAGAUAUUCACCUGGCACUGUUCACGUGAACAGUGCCAAGGUGACUUAUAUUUAGCUGGACACCCAGGUGAAUAUAAUUCACCUGGACACUGUUCACUUGGAGUGAACAGUGUCCAGGUGAAUUAUAUUCACCUGCAGACGUGAGAAGCAGCUCCCAGCUGCUUCUCAUGAAACGGUGUUUCAACAAAAAUGUCUAUGGGUCCCACAUGAAAAGCAGGUGAGUUUUUAUGUUACCAAACGUAAUGUUUACGCGGUGAGCUUUAAAAGCAAAAGCUACCGCGUAAACAAACACCCUCUAAGAAGGAUUAACCUUGACAUUUUCAUGACCAACAUAAAAACAUCACAUAUCCAUUAUAGUGUCCUUUAAAAUUUUAACACAUAUUAAACAAAACCACAAUGAUUUAAAAUUUACCUCCCAACAUAACAGAGGGGUCAACUUUGCUUUCUAAUCAAAAGUCUAAGGACUCAAAUUGAUUUUAAAAACAUGCCAAAAUAGUAAUUGAUCAAGAAAUUAAAAAGUCAUUCAACAUAUUAUUAAAGGGAGAAGUAUCGAUUUAUAUAUAAUUCCUUUUUUAUAUAUAUAUAUAUAUCAAAUUAACAUUUGCAGCUAAGAUGUUAAGGUGAUGAGUUUUGACAAAAAAAUAAAAAUAAUUUGGGAAUGUUUUUGCAACAAUGGAUAGACUAAAAGGAUAAAGCUUCAUCUAGACCUUUUAAUAAUUGGACGUCAUGACCGACCCAUUUACUCACAUUAAUUAAUCAAUAAUUUUAUUAAGACAAAGUAGGUUUCAACUAUAGUAAAAGGGUUGAUAUAUAUCACUAUUUUUCUCACUUGUUCAUUUUAAAAAUAUUUAAAGUAUUGGUGAAGCAUUGAGAAGACGAUACCAUUUUUAUGUAUUCAUGGUCAUCCAAGUAACAUGUUAUAAGUGGUCUUGGCCUCUAUGACUUGAAAAAGUGCAUUGAACUUCGUAUCUUUCAUGGAUAUCACAAGUUUUAUCUUUUUCAUGGUGUUUUUCCCUUCUUAAUUAAAGUCUUGAAUCAUCAUAUGACUUAAAAAGAGUUCAUCUAUAGGAAUCCAAAGCUCUUUUAUAGUUUUAAGAAAUAGUAUAUCAAUAUCUUAACCAUCAUCCACCAAAAUACAAUUCACCAUCUUUUCAAAGAUGUAACCUUUGAUAAAAAAAAAUGGCGAUUAUAGAGGUAGUUUAUCAAUAUUUAUGGAAGAUUCUGGUUGCAAAAAUGCUAACUAAACUUGUUAAUUGGCUGAAAUAGAUGAAGUGGGUGAUGAGUUGCUUGCUAAAGAACGGUGUAUAGUGAAAGAUAUUUUUGAGACAGGUCCCCAAUCCUCAUCCCAUGAAGCGCUGCUCUUUGCUGCUGAUGCAACAAUACCACUUGUUUUGCUCGAGGCUUCUAGCUAAACCCCAUUAGGAACAAAUGAUGACUUUACCUCUGAAAUUCCAGAAUCAGUUACUGUAACUCCUCUUUUCUUUUUUAUCAGCCUAUGAUAAAUGCCCAAAGUCAUAAAAAAAUGGGCAAUUUCUUUAGUAUGUUCAAGAAAAAAACAUAAAUAGACAUAAUUGAUAUCUCUUAAACGUUGGUACAUGUACUGCACACCACAACCUAUUUAUCCUACCUGUUUACUAAGUUUUUAUAUUUGUUUUAUUUUUAAUUUUAGUUCUUAAACAUUUAAUAGUUCUAUAUUAGCUGAAUUUUGUUUUACCCAUCAAAACCAAGUAUUAACUAUGCCUCAUAAUUUUUUUAUAUAAAUAUUGUAAGAUCCCUAUGUCAAAGCAUCCAAAACAAACUAUCAAGUUAAUCUCAAAUAAAGUCAAUGUAAAGAGAUUAAAUUGAAAAAAAAACAAGUUAAGGGACCAAAAUAAAAUACAGGACAUGAACUUCCCCCUAACCAUACAAAUCAAUCCCUAAUUUUGACAAAACAAAAACUAAAUAUUUCUUUAAUUUUCAAAUUUGGUUAUUUAAGUUAUAAUUAUUUGAAAUCAAUAAAAUUGAAAUUAGCUUUCCCAAAAUCGAGAAUUAACCAAGAGAUUAAACAGUUAAGGGACCAAAAUAAAAAACAGGACAUGAACUUUUCCCUAACCAUACAAAUCAAUCCCUAAUCUUGACGAAAAAACUAAAUAUAUUUUUAAUCUUUAAAUUUGGUUAUUUAAAUUAUAAUUAUUUGAAAUCAAUAAAAUUAAAUUUUGCUUUUCCAAAUGAAGCAUUAACCAAGAGAUUAAACAUUUUCUUGACACAUCAAGAAUCUAACAAAUAAUCAAGAUCAAUCAUAAAGCAAAGCAAUGUUAAAGGAUUGAUUACUUUUUUCUUUAGGAAAAUAAGAAUUGAAUUAAAUUAUAAAACUAGAUGAUAAUUGUUAUUUAGUAGAAUUACCAGCUGAAAUGAACAUUAUUUUAUCAUCAAUUAUAAAAUAUAUAUUUUUGUAAAAUUGGUAUAUAUUUUUAAUAGUUUGUUACUUUAGUACUUGGUUAGUCUAAAUAUAAAAAUAAUACGAAUUACACAUGGAGCACAUAUCAUAAUAACUUAAAAAAAAAAAAAAAAACAGUACGAUUCAUUUCAUUACCAGGGAAGUAAUCAUGCUAGCCAUUUUUUUACUUAUUACACUUUAAAAAGGUUACGAUUUUGGUUUGGAAGACCCAAACAAGUAACUUUAGGAAGCCCAUCCAUUUGACAGGGUACCGUUGCCAUUGACAAGUCCAUUGGCCGACGUAUUUGGUAUUGACCCCAAAGUCUUCUCACAUGCUCCUGUUUCUUGAUCAAUAAUUGGUAUUGACCCCAAAGUCUUCUCACAUUCACAUAUUUCUUGAUCAAACCAUCUUUCAUUUAGAUAACGGUGACAUUAGAUUGUCUGUAAGAAUUUACUUGAAGGAGUAGGAGAAGGCAAUAGACAAGAAAAAUCGUCUCUCAUCAUCAACAAUAUUCAGCUUCUUCUUUGUAUUAUUUGCUGAUGGAAAACACAACUGUUCUUAUGAUCUGUUGGUAAGUCUUUCUGGUUCAUGCGUCUUCUUUAUUUAAGAUUAUAUAUACGAGUUUGAUAAAUUUGUUUCAUGAACGUAUUAAUUCUUCCAUCUGUAAUUCUUUUUGCUCAGCUAGUGACUGUUCUUGCAAUGAAAGUAAUAGCAAGCUAGCAUUGGUAGCAAGUGACGAGUGAUCAUGUUAAGAUUGAUCAUAUCAAAUUAAGCUAGUAUAUAUCCAUCAUUAAGAGUUUGAGGAAUUUUCUGAUAAAUAUAAGUUGUGUGGGUUCUUGUACUAUUAGACUUCAAUUUCUCUUAACGAAUGUUCAGCUUUUGAAGUGGGGUGCUCUUUGUAUGUCUUUAGGAGAAAAAGGAGAGCACUUCUUGAUUUCGAUUCUUAGUGAUUGAGGAAGACACGAUCUUGUAACUGCCUGAUAUGGCAUCUUCAUCUGCUGUUGCUCAUAAAUGGAAGUAUGAUGUGUUCCUUAGUUUUAGAGGCAAGGAUACGCGCAAUAAUUUUACCAGCCAUCUUUAUGAUGCUUUGUGUCGUAAGAAAAUCAAGACAUUCAUUGAUGAUGGACUUGAAAGAGGAGAAGAAAUUACCCCUGCCCUUCUGAAAACGAUUGAAGAAUCAAGAAUUUCUGUAGUAAUUUUCUCCAAGAACUACGCAUCUUCUCCGUGGUGUGUGGAUGAACUGGUGAAAAUACUUGAAUGCAAAGAGACUUAUGGGCAGAUUGUUUUACCGGUCUUCUAUCAUGUGGACCCAUCUGAUGUUGAUGAACAGACUGGGAGUUUUGGAAAUGCAUUUGCUGAGCUUGAAAAAAAUUUCAAGUGGAAGAUGGACAAGGUGCCAAGGUGGAGGGCUGACUUGACAUACGCAGCCAGUAUAUCUGGAUGGGAUUCACAGGUUACUAGGUAACUAUAGAUUCUCUUCUUCAACCUUUUUUUUCCUGGAAUUAUAGCAAUUAAAAUUUAUUUAUAGCAAUUAAAAUUUCUUGUGCAUAUUAUAGUUUAUGUUUUUCUCCUGUAAAUCAUUUGUGCUUCAUAGUUCAUGAAAACUAACUUCCAUCAACAGCUAAUGGACUUGCACCUUAAUGGUACAAUACCGAAGGGGGAGAUCUUGAGUUCAAAACCUCACCUUUGACAACAUUUGCUUAUAAUAAAAAAAGAUUCACCAGUUUCUUAUAGAUUUUUCAUUCGACGUAAAGAUACAAUUUGAGUUAAAGAUGCUUCUUUCAUUUUUUGCAGUCCGGAGUCCAAACUAGUAAGAGAAGUUGUGCAAACUAUCUGGAAAAGGUUAAAUCGUGCAUCCCCAAGCAAAUUAAGAGGUCUGGUUGGAGUACAUUCACGUAUUGAGAAAAUCAACAAUUUACUAUCUACUGUGCCAUCAGAUGUACACACAAUAGGAAUUUGGGGCAUGGGUGGUAUAGGCAAGACAACUAUUGCGGAAGCUUUCUUCUAUAGCAUCUCAAGUCAAUAUGAAGGCUGCCACUUUCUUCCGAACAUAAGGCAGGAAUCAGAAAAGGGUCGAUUAAAUGAUCUACGAGAUGAACUUCUUUCUAAACUACUGGAGGAAGAAAAUCUUGGCGUUGGCACACCACAUAUAGGACCUACUUUCAUCAGGGAUAGACUCUGCCAAAAGAAAGUUCUCCUUGUUUUGGAUGAUGUGAAUGAUGUACGACAAUUCCAGUAUUUAAUUGGAGAGCGUUCGUUUGGCGAAGGAAGCGUUGUUGUUGUAACAUCAAGAGACAAGCAAGUACUUAAGAAUGUAGCUGAUGAAAUAUACGAGGUUGAGGAAUUAAACUCCCACGAAGCUCUUCAACUCUUUAGCUUGAAUGCUUUUAAGGGAAACCACCCCCCAAAAGCUUAUAUGGAGUUGUCAAUCACGGCAAUAAAUUAUGCCAAAGGGAACCCAUUAGCUCUUCGAGUUUUGGGUUCCUUCUUAUUCCGCAGAGAAAGACAUUUUUGGGAAUCUCAAUUAAAUAACAUCGAAAGCUUUCCCGAGCUGAACAUUUAUGACUUGCUGAGAAUAGGUUUUGAUGCACUACGUGAUAAUAACACGAAGAGUAUAUUUCUGGACAUUGCAUGUUUCUUUAGAGGGCAUCAAGUUGAUUUUGUAAAGCGGAUACUAGAUGGCUGCGGUUUCAAAACAGAUAUUGGAUUUAGUGUUCUCAUUGACAGGUGUCUCAUUAAAAUUUCAGAUGACAAGGUUGAAAUGCAUGAUCUUUUGCAAGAAAUGGCCCAUGAAGUUGUUCGAAAAGAAUCUCUUAACGAGCUAGGAGGACAAAGCAGAUUGUGGAGUCCUAAAGAUGUAUAUCAAGUGUUGACCAAUAAUCAGGUGAGAUUCAUAUACACGAAAGUUUUCCUUUUCAUAUGCAAUGCAAUAUGGUUGUACUAGUAAGUUUAAAAUCUUACUUAAAACUUUGUUUCUCCUUCACUGGUUUUCAGGGAACUGGAAAAGUUGAAGGGAUAUUCUUGGAUGUUUCAAAAAUAAGAGAAAUUGAGUUGAGUUCUACUGCCUUGGAAAGGAUGUAUAAACUUAGACUGCUAAAAAUUUAUAAUUCUGAAGCUGGAGUUAAAUGCAGAGUGCACCUUCCUCAUGGCCUCGAGUCUCUUUCUGAAGAGUUGAGGUAUCUCCAUUGGGAUGGAUACCCUUUGACAUCUUUGCCUAGCAAUUUUCGUCCACAGAACCUUGUUGAAAUUAACCUAUCAUGUAGCAAGGUUAACCAACUGUGGAGAGGAGACCAGGUAUUCUAAAAUAACUCCAUGCAUGCAUAGUUCUUUCUUUGAAAUUUAUUGUGGUAUGCACUUGUAAUUUCUUUCUGUUGAUUUCAUUUUGCUUCAGAAUCUCGUCAAUUUAAAAGAUGUCAACCUCAGCAAUUGCGAGCACAUAACUUUCAUGCCAAACCUUUCAAAGGCCAGAAACCUUGAGAGAUUGAAUCUUCAAUUCUGUACAAGUUUGGUUAAGUUUCCUUCAUCUGUUCAGCAUCUGGACAAGCUUGUUGAUUUAGAUUUGAGAGGCUGCAAAAGACUAAUCAAUCUUCCCAGUAGAUUUAAUUCAAGUUUUCUGGAGACUCUGAACCUUUCUGGUUGUUCAAAUAUCAAGAAGUGCCCAGAGACUGCAAGGAAACUGACAUAUUUAAAUUUAAAUGAGACUGCUGUUGAAGAGCUUCCCCAAUCAAUUGGGGAACAAAGUGGACUUGUUGCGUUGAAUUUGAAAAACUGCAAACACCUGGUUAAUCUUCCAGAAAACAUUUAUUUGUUGAAAUCUCUUCUCAUAGCUGACUUCUCUGGCUGCUCAUCUAUCAGCAGGCUUCCUGAUUUUUCGAGGAAUAUAAGAUACUUGUACUUGAAUGGAACUGCAAUAGAAGAACUGCCAUCUUCAAUUGGUGGUCUAAGGGAACUUAUUUAUUUAGAUCUAGUUGGCUGCAACUUGCUAAAGAAUCUGCCGAGUGCGGUUUCUAAGUUGGGAUGCCUUAAAAAACUUGAUCUUUCCGGUUGCUCAAGUGUCACGGAGUUUCCAAAGGUUUCUAAUACUAUAAAGGAGCUGUAUUUAAAUGGGACAGCAAUACGAGAGAUUCCCUCUUCAAUAGAAUGUUUGUUUGAUCUUGCUGAAUUGCACCUGCGAAACUGCAAACAAUUUGAGAUUCUUCCAAGCAGCAUCUGCAAGUUGAGAAAACUGGAGAGGCUUAAUCUCUCAGGUUGCGUCCAAUUUCGGGAUUUUCCAGAAGUUUUGGAGCCGAUGGUAUGUUUGAGAUAUCUCUAUUUAGAACAGACAAGCAUAACAGAGUUGCCUUCACCGAUUGGAAAUCUGAUGGGACUUGCCUGCUUGGAAGUGGGAAACUGCAAAUAUCUAAAAGACAUCGAAUGUUUUGUUGACUUGCAAUUGCCCGAGAGAUGCGUGGAUUUAGAUUCUUUGCGUAAGCUAAAUCUAGAUGGUUGCAGUCUAUCGGAAGUGCCGGACAGUCUUGGUCGUUUUUCGUCACUAGAAGUGUUAGAACUAAGUGGAAACAAUUUUCAGACUAUACCUAUAAGCAUCAAUAAACUCUUUGAGUUGCAAUAUCUCGGAUUAAGGAAUUGCACGAGACUUGAAUCAUUACCGGAGCUUCCACCACGGCUAUCAAAGUUGGAUGCAGACAAUUGCGAGAGUUUGCAUUAUCUAGUAUCAAGCUCAUCAACUGUAGUUGAGGGGAACAUUUUUGAAUUCAUUUUCACUAAUUGCUCGAGAUCGCGUUGGUUCAAUCAAAUCUUGGCGUACUCAUUAUUGAAAUUUCAACUUUACACCAAAAGGUUAUACCAUCAGGUUUGUUUCUCAAACCUCUGAUAUACAUCUUUUUUUCUUUGCCACCUUUCAUUUAAAAAAGAUGCUAUUUGAGUUGUGUUUACAGCUGCCCGAUGUUCCAGAAGGGGCAUGUAGUUUCUGCCUCCCUGCAAAUGCGACUCCGGAGUGGUUUAGCCAUCAAAGUUGGGGAUCUACAGUAACAUUCCAGCUAUCUUCACAUUGGGCUAAUAGCCAGUUCUUGGGUUUCUCUCUUUGCGCUGUCAUUGCAUUUUAUUCUGUCAGCUAUGGUUUGCAAGUUAAAUGUACAUAUCACUUCCGCAAUGAGCACGGUGAUAGCCAUGAUCUCUAUUGUUAUCUCCAUGGUUGGUAUGAUGAGAAGCGAAUCAACUCAGCACACAUAUUGGUGGGGUUUGAUCCCUGUCUGGUUGCCAAAGAAGAUUAUAUGUUUAGUGAAUACAGUGAGGUCUCUAUUGAGUUCCAACCGGAAGAUAUGAACGGCAUUCUUUUAGCAUUAGAUGUUUGUGAAGUAAAUGAGUGUGGGGUUCGUCUACUGUAUGAAGAUGAGAUACAUCCCUUUGAUUUGAUCAUGCCAGGCUCCUCUCGUUUUCAUCCUCUGGAUCGAGAUGGAUUGGAAGCAAGGUUCCAAGCCAAGAGAGCAAGGUUCCAAGCCA